UCGUGGGGGGGCUUGGGGGGGGGAAUUGGGGGGUCCUGGGGGGAGAUUUGGGGGUAUGUGGGGUCCCUGUGUGGGUCCCAGUGUGGGUCUGGGGUCUCCAUACGGGUCUGGGGUCCCCAUGGGGGUGAUUGGGGUCCCCUUGUGGGUGUGGGGUCCCCAUGUGGGUCCCAGUGUGGGUCUGGGGUCCCCAUGUGGGUCUGGGGUCCCGCUGUGGGUCUGGGGUCCCGCUGAGUGUCCCCAUGUGGGUCUGGGGUCCCCAUGUGGGUCUGGGGUCCCUUUGUGGGUCUGGGGUCCCGCUGAGGGUCCCUGCCCCCAUUUCCCGCAGAGGGCGCGGAGGCGGUGAAGCAGAAGGAUUUGGGGGACGGGGUCUUCGCCUGCGAGUUCGUCCCCAGCGCCCCCGGCCCCCACAGCGUCAGCGUCACCUAUGGGGGGCAGCCCAUCCCCCGCAGGUGGGACCGCAGCCCCGCCCCACACAUCCUGCCCCAUAGAUCCCUGCCCCACACAUCGUGCCCCAUAGAUC
rnacentral:lncRNA from 1 species